CAGGGAGCAGGGCGGGGUCAUAUAUCAAGCUGCAACACAUUCAGGGCCACGUACAUUUGGAAGAAAUUAAGCCACUGUGUUAUGAAACCAUAUGUGUUGGGUUAAGACUAUACAACACGCCAUUAGCACCAAUUAUUAGGAAGAUCCCGAGCGCCCAGGACCCUCUGGGCCGCCCAAUUCUGACGUCCCUAUCCCUUAAACCGGCCUCGCCUUAAGUCCUCACUGCCUCCGCUCACCCAGGAGGCCCCGCCAGUGAGGCCUGGGCCUAUCCCCACCCAGCCUGGGGCCUCCCCAAUUCCCACCUCCGCUCCAGACAGGGCAGAUCCCAGACCAGAGCAGCCAGGCGAGGCGGAUGAAGCAGCCCAGCCCCGCCGCCCGCCUAGCUGCGCGCUCUUCCUGCUCCGCGGCUGGGCCCUGGGCCAGCACUGCGCAUGUGUGAGCUCUAGCGGUCGCGCUCUCUGGUAGGGAGGGGGCUGCGGAGCAGGGAGGGGGCGCUGGAAAGUUUGUUUGGGGGUUGGGGGGCUGACUUUGCUCUGGGGGCAAUGGUUACAACCUACAAGUUCUCUCUGCUGCCCUGAAGUUUGAGCUCCCAGGCCAUCUCUGUCCCAGUCCCAUUAGCCAAGAGGCCUCAGAUCCAUUAUAACAGGAAGAGAACGACAUUCUUCCCAAGGGGUGUCCCGUGCUGGCAGUCCCCAACUCCAGCCCAGAUGGAAAUGGGAGGGGCAGGCCGCUGGAAGCUGGAAGCGUCAUCGCCAAGCCUGACCUGGCCGUGGUCUGAAGAGCAGAGAGGGUUUAGACCUGCCCUGGGCAGUCCUGCAGAGACCGCAGGAGGGGUGAGAAUGGGGGCCAAGCUCCAGAACCCCCAAAGCGCGCCUCAUCCCCAGGUUCCUUUCUCAGAGAAAAUGACAUCCCCCCAGACCAUCCCUAGUGUCAGGUCUCCUCAAUUCCUAGGUUCAGAUGGCAGCUUACUUCUAAUCUUUUUAGAAUUAAAAAUCAAAUUAAGGCCCAAGAUCUUGGUUCCCACUUCUUUUUCUUUGGGUGCAAGGUGGUGUGAAGCUUUUCUGUCUUGUCAGGUGGCCCACACCCGCCUGCCUUUUUCAGAAAAAUUCCAAUGUCCGGGCAGCUGGGACACACCUUGGAAGCCCUGAAAAAAGAACCUAUUCUUCUCUAAGUUGCACCUUCCAUACUAAACUCUGAGGCGCUACCCACCCCCACUUUUCUCCAGACCCCUAAUUUUGACAAUGAGCCCAGUGUGGGGAGCCCAGAAUAAAUUCGCCCAUAGAGAUUAUUUGCCAGCCAGUCAUAACCCAGCCACUCUCCCCACCAACUGGAGAUUUGAAGGCCCAAAGGCUCUUCCCUUGGUCCUGAAUCAAGCUGGCACGGGGACUUCCAUGGCUGGGUGCCCCACCCCAACCAAUAGGGGGUCCCUCAUGCCCUCCCCAAACUUCCUUCACAGUAAGAGAAGCAGUUCCCUCAGCCGGAUGUAGGGACCUCGUUUCUUUUACAAACCCACCCAUAAAUUUUAUAACAGGUAGUUAAAAAUUACGACAAGGAAGCUCUGGCCCAGCUUUUCACAAUGGGCCGAGGGGAGAAUGGGACAGCGCUGCGGGCAGUUCACCGGAAAUUUUACUUCUAGUCUGUGGCACAACCUGUCCUGAGUUCGCUCUAAGUGGGGCGGGGUAACUCUCCAGCCGGCUCGCAGCUACAGGGCAUCUCAUUUAGGAAAGAUGAGGCUGAGGAGGCCAGUCCAUUCUCCCACCCUAGGGUCCCCCAAGGAGCCCUUUAGGGCACUCACUACCUCCCUCACCCCCCGAGAUCCCCCGCAGGCCCCCAACUCCGUUGCCUCUGCAGUAAAGUGGGGAGGGAGAGAAAAAGCCGAGAAUUAAAAAAAAAAUUUCAGAGAAACGAAUUUGCCCCCCAACUUAAUAGCUGCAUUAUCCCGUCUCUACGGUUGAGAUUAGAAUAAUAAAUUCAGGGCGAAAUGAGCGAGAUGCUUCAACUCAGCAUUUUGAAAGAUACUAUUUUUCACAAAUCACAAAUAGCUUUCGGAAGCCACUUUGAUUGGCUAAUAAAAAAAGUAAAGAAUGGGAGAAAGUCCUAUCUGCUGCAGUCGAAUGGUCCCCAUUCCGGUAAUGGGACGGCGGGAGCAUUUGGGAG